UCCCGCCACCACACAACCACCUGGUCUCCCGCUUCCUCGGGAUCCUGCCUGAUCCAUACAUCCAGUCGAUCCCGCAGCUCCCUCCACCAACCACAACCGCCACCUCUUGAUCCCCAUCCGCGCCAACCACCAGCCAGAUGCAAUCCAGCCUUAGUUGCCUUCUCCAUCCUCGGACAGUGAGAUCCAACAUGCCCCGAGCUCCACGCGCCCAGCGCCCGAGCCCCACAGACGAGCGUCUCCCGCUCCCUCCUCGAUCCAGAUCGAGAAGAGCUCGAUCCCGAGCUCCGCGACCUCGCCGUACCUCCUCCUCGCCUCGUCGCCAACGAGCCGCCUCGCCAGAGCACGCCGCCAGGUCGCCGUCCUACCUCAUCUUCCCCCUCCUCCCAGGGACCUCUCUCACCUCGCUCUCGCGUCGUCGUCUUCCCCAGGGAACCAGGAGCCCGCCAUGGCCGCCUGAAGGAGCUUCUUCGGUGUUGUUUUGCACCCGAUCCGGUCGGAAAAGGACGGAUCCAUCUUCCCCAUGUUCGUCCCAUGCCUCUUUGCCUCGACGGAGUCGCCAAGAAGCCGACCCUCGUCCACCACGUCCUUUCCAUCGCGUUGUCGCGCCAAGUUCCCCUGCAUCCCGCUGCCUCCUCUGCUUGGAUCCAACCGAGCCGUUGCUCGCGUUCGCCGCCUAGGCCCCGUGCCUCCUCAAGGCCCAGCCUACCCCAGCUCGCUCGCCAGACCGACCUGCCUCUCCACCGCGUUGAGCCUCGGCCCGCAUGGUGAGCCCAUCACCAUCCCCCCUCAUUUUGCCUGCUUGACGCACUGCACAUGACUUAGUAUCCACCGCUUAGCUCUGUUCAGCUCGCACGCACUCUUAGGUGCACAUUCGACCCUGUCCGCACCAAAUUUUCCUUUCAAUUGUUCUCAACUUUCCUUACGAACUGACAUGCGGGGCUCACUAGUCCUAGGGAUAUAUAUUCAACUGAAAUCCUGUUUUAUUUCUACAAGUGGACCCCCAUGCUAUGCUAGGCAAAUACGGUGCCAUGUCAGCAAACUUUACGUCUAUCCAUAAACAAGACCCGAAGUAGACUACAAGCGCUCUCAGCGGUUUGGAAGAUCUGGCCAUCCAUUGUGUUAACUUGAUGCGUUUCCGGCCGUUGGAUCAAGGCGCUUGAGGACGUCGGCCGCUGGAUCGAACUCGAGCUCCUGUAGCAACGAAUAGUUACUCCCGCGAUGAAAUAUCUCGUGCCACACGUGUGAAUUCGGUGCCCCACCAAGGGCAUUUUAGUCAUUUCACUUUUGGGUAUAAAUCUUAGCAGCCCUGUGCAACCCGGUGGUAGAACCCUAGCCGCCUCCCCAUCCGCGUCCUUCAUUGUCGCUCUCUCCCCUUCCCAGCCGCUCGCCCCGCCGACCUGCCCGUCCUUCCGCGCUGCCCUGCCCUGCCCGUCCCACUCGCCGUGGCCGAUGACGGCGCCACCAGGACCACGGCCACUCGAUGAGGAGGCCUGGACCUUGGCGCAGACCCGUGCUCCUGAGCGGUGGCAACGGCGGAUCCCUCCUCAUCGCGGAGCGAGCCCUCCCGCCGGUGUUGCGCCGCGCCGCAAUGCUGCUGGCCUGGAGGCCCAUGUUCGGGCAGCCGCAACGGCGUCGUCAGCAUCGGAUGCGGUGGCAGGGCCUCAGGGGACCGCUUGGCAGGGGGACCGUCGCGGCUUCUGGCGACGCCAAGCCAUAGAUCCGAGCUGCCGUUUACACUUCGUUUCCUCCAUGUUUUGAUUUGGUGCCUCCACUCCUCACCACCUCUCCCUCUCUGAUCUUGUUUGUUCGUAGGCCUCUCUCUACUUUAUCUGUUCAUGUUUGUUUGUAGGCCUGGGCUUGUAGGUUAUUUGUCUUCUCUAUCUGUAGAUGCUGUUGGAUUCGGACCAUAUUCCAAAGAUGGGGGCCUUUUGUGCUCUCAGGUUUGGCUAGGUUCCAAGUAUUAGGAUUUCUCUCAGGUCUGGCUAGGUUCCAAAGAUGGCCACAGAGCCUUUUGUGCACUCAGGUUUGGCUAGAUUCCAAGUAUUAGGAUUUUUUUGGGUCGAUGGUCUGGCUAGGUUCCAAAGAUGGCCACUUUUCUGUGGCCUUUAUGCUGCCUUGCUUGGAUUCGAUGGGAGAGAGAGAAGGGUUUAGCUAGGUUCCAAAUAUUGGGAUCUUUUGGAAGUUAAGGUACUCAUGUGCUCUUUGUUAUUUUGUAAAAUAUGUAUAUGGGGUAUUCCUCUGGUUAAAAAUGAGUACUAGGUUAAGAUCCUUACACUUGAAAUUUAUCAUUAUUUGGAUACUCUGCAGUGUUGUGUUGUUUACUAAAUUCUCCAGUUAUUUUCAGUUUCAGUUAGGCUCUCUAUAGUGAUUAUCUCAACUUAUGCAAUAACAACUAUACCAUCGUGAUGUGUAAUUACAGAUUGUUUUAGUGCUAUAAUUUGUUCUGACUUCCAUGUUUCACAGUAUUGACAUGUUGAGCUUGUAUGCCCUUUCCAUGAAUUGAGUUCUAUGUAAUUCUUGGCAAUGCAUUGACAUGGUUCUGGUAGCCAUUAUGAUGCAUGAUGCACCAUAAUGUCAGUUCCUUUCUAUCACUGAUUUUUGGAUAAAUCUUGCUGCAGUGAAACCCCAAGAACGAUAUGGAUGUGAAUGAAAAGGGUACUUUUUAUUAGUCUUAUAGUGGCCUGACAUGCUAUCAAAUUUUUUUAGUAUCUAAAAAGGCAGACCAGUUUUGCAAUGUAUAUUUACAUUUUUCAUUACAUUUGGUCUUAAGAUUUGACAUUGUUUUGCCAGGACAGUUUCACUUCAUGUAGCUACUACACCAGGAGAAUUGUAUCCUUGCGCUGAGGAAAAUGUUAUGCCGACCGUGGCCAAGUGCCCUGAACUCACCUAUGCCUGGUAAUCGUGGUGUGAGCUGAAGGUAAAAGGCAAAGCCUAAAGAGAGAUUUUAUCAAAAUCAGCAGCACUUUACAGAAAGAAGUGAAAGGAUUCAUGAAAAGGUCAGAGGGGAUAUCUCUGCCUGGACAAAGUCCUACAUCCUGACAAAGACAUCUAGGAGUUUGAAUUUGAUAGUUUCAAUGGAAACACUUGCUACAGUAAGUAACUUUUAGUAAGGAAAGGUGUCACGGCUGCUACCACACCAGCCUCCCUUCUAGAGCCCACCGGUGCCACCGGGUGGCCCAAGAGAAGAAAGAAGCCCAACAAGCUUUUCGACCCAUCGACCUGGGAGCUGUAAGCGGACCGAUAAGUAGGCCACGGUGGAGUGAGUCGGGCACAGAAUUGUAAUAGACUGAAUCCACUCCUCAUCCCCCUCCUCUGCUUUCCCUGUAUCCCCUUCCUCCUGCCUCCCGAUCCCCUUUCUCCCCUCGCAAACCCUAGCUGGAUUCUCUUGUAAUUCACCAUGAUCGCUUGAAUUGAGUAAGAGGGUUGUGACAUAUGGUAUCAGAGCUUCCGGAUUACCUACAGAAACCCACCUACACCACCCGGCAACAGCGGCAGGCGGGAGAGAUGGACAGAAGGUAGAGGAGUUGUCGGCGGCACUUAAGGCGAUCCAGGAGCAGAAUGAGUCGAUCAUGAAGGCGGCAUCGGCUUCCCACACCCUCUUCGCCGAGAUCCGCCCGGUGGUGGCGGAUUUGGCGACGUGGAAGCCACAUCUGGAGCAGUCCGUCGCGGAUCUGCGGCAAGAGCUUGGAGGAGUACGCCAGGAGAUCGACCUCAUCGCGCGCAACCCGGUCCUCGCCCUCAAGCCGUCGGACCUCCCUCCGAUUCUUCCAAGGCCAAGCAGCGUGCCGUUCCCCAAUGGCGGCAGCAGCUCUCAAGGGCCCGAUGGCCACCGCAUCGAUCUGCUUCACCGGGGGGUGGCUCUGGGGUUGUUACCACCCUACUCCCGCCUCCGGCCACGGGUACGUUUCCACGCCCCUGUCCUCGCUCUUUGGAGAGUCCCCGCCAGGCUGAUAAUUGAUCGAGGCCUUUAGGGCGUUCACCUGUGCGUGGUUCAUCCCGAUCGGGCAGCUCGUUUCAGCAUUGCUCAUCUAUCCUUCCUAUGCCUAAGAUGGAUUUUCCUCUGUUCUGGGGAGAACGGCCACACAGUUGGAAGCGCAAUUGCGAGUCGUAUUUCAGGGUGUUUCACGUAGACCCGGAGUUUUAGGUAGAUACUGCUGCCAUGCAUUUCACAGGGGCAACCAUGGUAUGGCUAGAGAACAAUGAGUUCGACUUGCGCCAUAUGGAGUGGGAAUUUUUUUGCUCUGUGGUCUAUGGACAGUUCGAGAGGAACGAGUUCAGUGGCCUGUCGCGUCAGUUAUUUCAUUUGCGGCAGACAGACUCAGUGUCAGACUAUACUGCUAGAUUCACCGAGAUUAUGCAUUCCUUGCUUGCAUAUAGCACUACCUGGGAUCAUGCUCUGUUCCCAUCUCGUUAUGUCGAUGGGCUUAGAGAUGAGAUUCGUGUUGUUGUUUUAGUGCAUAAUCCAAAAGACCUCGACACUGCUGUUUCUCUCGCUUUCUUACAGGAAGAGGCACUGGAGAUUUCCAAGCGGCGCGAGCCUCGGCGCUGGGAAGGGGGCUCAGGUGGUGGGCAGAGCAUCCGCUCCCGUCUCCGGGGGGCCAUGCCCCUUCCUGCACCUCCUGGGCGACCACCUCCCGCGGCAACAACAGCCACGGACGACCGCCGCGGGGCAACGACAGACAGUUCCCGGAGCGAAAACACGGUCGAAGAUCGCCUCUCCGCGCUCAAGGCCUAUCGUCGGGCCAAGUGGCUAUGUUAUCUCUGUGGAGAGAAGUGGGGCAGAGAGCACAAAUGCGCAACAACAGUUCAACUCCAUGUUGUCCAAGAGAUGUUCGAUGUGCUGGGUUUCUCAGGCCUACCAACCAGCGAAGAGCGAUCAGACUCAGAAAGUGAGUGCCACACCAUCUCAAGAGCUGCGACGCAAGGUACAGUAGCCCCGCAAACCAUCAGAUUGCAGGGGAAGAUUCAAUAGCAGCAAGUGUUUGAUACGUCUCCAACGUAUCUAUAAUUUUUGAUUGCUCCAUGCUAUAUUAUCUACUAUUUUGGACAAUAUUGGGCUUUAUUAUCCACUUUUAUAUUAUUUUUGGGACUAACCUAUUAACCAGAGGCACAGCCCAGAAUUGCUGUUUUUUGCCUAUUUCAGAGUUUCGCAGAAAAAGAAUAUCAAACGGAGUCCAAACGGAAUUAAACCUUCGGGAGCGUGAU